GUUUGUAUCUGGAACUACCAGUCACAGACCAUGGAGAAGUCCUUCAAGGUCACUGAGUCUCCAGUGAGGUCAGCCAAGUUUGUAGCACGUGAAAACUGGAUUGUAACAGCGGCUGAUGACAAGUACAUUCGCAUAUACAACUAUAAUACGAUGGAAAA